rnacentral:rRNA from 2 species
GAUGAACGCUAGCUACAGGCUUAACACAUGCAAGUCGAGGGGCAGCAUGGAAGAAGCUUGCUUCUUCUGAUGGCGACCGGCGCACGGGUGCGUAACGCGUAUCAAACCUGCCUCAUACUCGGGGAUAGCCUUGCGAAAGUAAGAUUAAUACCCGAUGUUGUUAUGUUACCGCAUGGUGAUAUAACCAAAGAUUUAUCGGUAUGAGAUGGUGAUGCGUCCGAUUAGGUAGUAGGCGGGGUAACGGCCCACCUAGCCUUCGAUCGGUAGGGGUUCUGAGAGGAAGGUCCCCCACACUGGAACUGAGACACGGUCCAGACUCCUACGGGAGGCAGCAGUGAGGAAUAUUGGUCAAUGGACGCAAGUCUGAAACCAGCCAAAGUAGCGUGCAGGAUGACGGGCCCUUCUGGGUUGUAAAACU